AGCUUUGCGCAGUGGCGAUAUCGUAACCAAUGAGGUACAGCCGAGGUGCGAUUAUUGCUAGUUGAAAACUGCUGGGUGAUGACGAUCUUAUAUGAAGGAAACGACAAAUCUUACUUAACUAUUUGAUGGAAAGAACGACGAGAAAUUU